GACAGUGGAGAACAACAGGCCCCAUUUAAACAAUGGGAGGGAAUGCAUGAGGGGAAGGAAAGACAGGCACUGGGCCCAAACAUCUAAAAAAAUAAAAAUAAUUGCAUUUAUGUUGGGUGGGGGAGAGAGGGAAGAGUUUUUUGUUUUCAUUUGAGCCUGGUUUCCAAUUUCUGCCUUACAGAAGAGAAAAGCUAGCUUCCAAGGAAUCUGAAGGCAUAUAAAAUGUUUGAUGAAUGCACUGGGACCCUCCCCAUGCAAGCAGCUUUGGCUGUGGCUCACUGGCCUCCCACCAAAGAGCACCAGGACAUGUCUGCCGCGAUUCAGCCCAUGUAUCAACAUAACGAAAGGGGUCCCUUCAGUCAAGAAGUGGUUUUCCCUCAUGCUCAAGCAUUUACCAGCCUGGUUGCAGUGUGACCUCUGCAGGACACAGCUUAAGUGGCAUAAGUAA
rnacentral:lncRNA from 1 species